rnacentral:rRNA from 1 species
UACUCCCCAGGCGGGGUACUUAUUGCGUUAACUCCGGCACAGAAGGGGUCGAUACCUCCUACACCUAGUACCCAUCGUUUACGGCCAGGAUUACCGGGGUAUCUAAUCCCGUUCACUCCCCUGGCUUUCGCGCCUCAGCGUCAGACACAGUCCAGAAAGUCGCCUUCGCCACUGAUGUUCCUCCUAAUAUCUACGCAUUUCACCGCUACACUAGGAAUUCCACUUUCCUCUCCUGCACUCAAGAAAUGUAGUUUCCAUCCCAUCACCGGGUUGAGCCCCGAACUUUUAAGACAGACUUACAUUCCCGCCUGCGCGCGCUUUACGCCCAAUAAUUCCGGACAACGCUUGCCUCCUACGUAUUACCGCGGCUGCUGGCACGUAGUUAGCCGUGGCUUCCUCCUCAGGUACCGUCAUUACUUAACAUUAUUCACAUUAAGCACAUUCGUCCCUGAAGACAGAGCUUUACGAUCCGAAAACCUUCUUCACUCACGCGGCGUUGCUCCGUCAGACUUUCGUCCA